AAGGAUUUAAGUUAAACAAACUCACAACCUUCAAAGUUGUAAAUAAAGAAAGCUUUAAGCCUUA
rnacentral:tRNA from 1 species